CCCCUGUGGCAGCGGUGGGAGCGGUGGCUCAGUCUCUUGCGAGAGGCGCAGGAAGAGGACCCAGAGAGAGCAUUGUGUCUAUCUGGAGAUUUCCUGCUGUGAUGGAGCGGCUGAGAGCCCUUCGAGGUCUCUUUGCCUGUGUGGGCUGCGUGCCCAGAGGUACACGUCGCAGGGCCAGAGGCAGGGUGGCAAGCCCUGUCCCUGCCUGUGCCGUGACUUUGCUGCUGCAGCGCCUGCAAGACCAGGAGGGUGACCGAGUGCAGGCGUACUGCGAGCUGGAGCACGUCCUGCGGGAAGGUGACAGCCGCCCGCCAUGCGGAGUGCUGAACCGGCUGCUGGCUGAGGUGUCCCAGGACCUGACAGCAGCCCAGGGCGUGCCAGACAGCGUGAGGAUGGCUGCCAGCAAUGUCCUGGUGGCUCUGGCCCGGACACACUUCACCUUGGUGAUGGCCGAGCUCCAGAGCCACCUGAAGGCCAUGGGGGAGAUGUCCAAGGAGUUUGUGCUCGUCACCCUGAGCAAACUGUUCACCAGCUACGCUCCACAGUGCAUCUCCUUCGUGUGGCUGACGCUGGCC
ensembl:lncRNA